AGUGAACGCUGGCGGUAGGCCUAACACAUGCAAGUCGAACGGCAGCACAGGAGAGCUUGCUCUCUGGGUGGCGAGUGGCGGACGGGUGAGGAAUACAUCGGAAUCCACUCUGUCGUGGGGGAUAACGUAGGGAAACUUACGCUAAUACCGCAUACGACCUACGGGUGAAAGCAGGGGACCUUCGGGCCUUGCGCGAUUGAAUGAGCCGAUGUCGGAUUAGCUAGUUGGCGGGGUAAAGGCCCACCAAGGCGACGAUCCGUAGCUGGUCUGAGAGGAUGAUCAGCCACACUGGAACUGAGACACGGUCCAGACUCCUACGGGAGGCAGCAGUGGGGAAUAUUGGACAAUGGGCGCAAGCCUGAUCCAGCCAUACCGCGUGGGUGAAGAAGGCCUUCGGGCUGUAAAGCCCUUUUGUUGGGAAAGAAAUCCAGCUGGCUAAUACCCGGUUGGGAUGACGGUACCCAAAGAAUAAGCACCGGCUAACUUCGUGCCAGCAGCCGCGGUAA
rnacentral:rRNA from 1 species